rnacentral:rRNA from 1 species
UUAAGCGACUAAGCGUACACGGUGGAUGCCCUGGCAGUCAGAGGCGAUGAAGGACGUGCUAAUCUGCGAUAAGCGUCGGUAAGGUGAUAUGAACCGUUAUAACCGGCGAUUUCCGAAUGGGGAAACCCAGUGUGAUUCGUCACACUAUCAUUAACUGAAUCCAUAGGUUAAUGAGGCGAACCGGGGGAACUGAAACAUCUAAGUACCCCGAGGAAAAGAAAUCAACCGAGAUUCCCCCAGUAGCGGCGAGCGAACGGGGAGCAGCCCAGAGCCUGAAUCAGUGUGUGUGUUAGUGGAAGCGUCUGGAAAGGCGCGCGAUACAGGGUGACAGCCCCGUACACAAAAAUGCACAUGCUGUGAGCUCGAUGAGUAGGGCGGGACACGUGGUAUCCUGUCUGAAUAUGGGGGGACCAUCCUCCAAGGCUAAAUACUCCUGACUGACCGAUAGUGAACCAGUACCGUGAGGGAAAGGCGAAAAGAACCCCGGCGAGGGGAGUGAAAAAGAACCUGAAACCGUGUACGUACAAGCAGUGGGAGCCUCUUUAUGGGGUGACUGCGUACCUUUUGUAUAAUGGGUCAGCGACUUAUAUUCUGUAGCAAGGUUAACCGAAUAGGGGAGCCGAAGGGAAACCGAGUCUUAACUGGGCGUUAAGUUGCAGGGUAUAGACCCGAAACCCGGUGAUCUAGCCAUGGGCAGGUUGAAGGUUGGGUAACACUAACUGGAGGACCGAACCGACUAAUGUUGAAAAAUUAGCGGAUGACUUGUGGCUGGGGGUGAAAGGCCAAUCAAACCGGGAGAUAGCUGGUUCUCCCCGAAAGCUAUUUAGGUAGCGCCUCGUGAAUUCAUCUCCGGGGGUAGAGCACUGUUUCGGCAAGGGGGUCAUCCCGACUUACCAACCCGAUGCAAACUGCGAAUACCGGAGAAUGUUAUCACGGGAGACACACGGCGGGUGCUAACGUCCGUCGUGAAGAGGGAAACAACCCAGACCGCCAGCUAAGGUCCCAAAGUCAUGGUUAAGUGGGAAACGAUGUGGGAAGGCCCAGACAGCCAGGAUGUUGGCUUAGAAGCAGCCAUCAUUUAAAGAAAGCGUAAUAGCUCACUGGUCGAGUCGGCCUGCGCGGAAGAUGUAACGGGGCUAAACCAUGCACCGAAGCUGCGGCAGCGACGCUUAUGCGUUGUUGGGUAGGGGAGCGUUCUGUAAGCCUGCGAAGGUGUGCUGUGAGGCAUGCUGGAGGUAUCAGAAGUGCGAAUGCUGACAUAAGUAACGAUAAAGCGGGUGAAAAGCCCGCUCGCCGGAAGACCAAGGGUUCCUGUCCAACGUUAAUCGGGGCAGGGUGAGUCGACCCCUAAGGCGAGGCCGAAAGGCGUAGUCGAUGGGAAACAGGUUAAUAUUCCUGUACUUGGUGUUACUGCGAAGGGGGGACGGAGAAGGCUAUGUUGGCCGGGCGACGGUUGUCCCGGUUUAAGCGUGUAGGCUGGUUUUCCAGGCAAAUCCGGAAAAUCAAGGCUGAGGCGUGAUGACGAGGCACUACGGUGCUGAAGCAACAAAUGCCCUGCUUCCAGGAAAAGCCUCUAAGCAUCAGGUAACAUCAAAUCGUACCCCAAACCGACACAGGUGGUCAGGUAGAGAAUACCAAGGCGCUUGAGAGAACUCGGGUGAAGGAACUAGGCAAAAUGGUGCCGUAACUUCGGGAGAAGGCACGCUGAUAUGUAGGUGAAGUCCCUUGCGGAUGGAGCUGAAAUCAGUCGAAGAUACCAGCUGGCUGCAACUGUUUAUUAAAAACACAGCACUGUGCAAACACGAAAGUGGACGUAUACGGUGUGACGCCUGCCCGGUGCCGGAAGGUUAAUUGAUGGGGUUAGCGGUAACGCGAAGCUCUUGAUCGAAGCCCCGGUAAACGGCGGCCGUAACUAUAACGGUCCUAAGGUAGCGAAAUUCCUUGUCGGGU